GCCUACGGCCAUACCACCCUGAAAGCGCCUGAUCUCGGAAGCUAAGCAGGGACGGGCUUGGUUAGUACCUGGGUGGGAGACAGCCUGGGAAAUCCUGGUGCUGUAGGCU
ensembl:rRNA 5S_rRNA 5S ribosomal RNA